GACGAACGCUGGCGGCGUGCUUAACACAUGCAAGUCGAACGGAAAGGCCCUGCUUUUGUGGGGUGCUCGAGUGGCGAACGGGUGAGUAACACGUGAGUAACCUGCCCUUGACUUUGGGAUAACUUCAGGAAACUGGGGCUAAUACCGGAUAGGAGCUCCUGCUGCAUGGUGAGGGUUGGAAAGUUCCGGCGGUUGGGGAUGGACUCGCGGCUUAUCAGCUUGUUGGUGGGGUAGUGGCUUACCAAGGCUUUGACGGGUAGCCGGCCUGAGAGGGUGACCGGCCACAUUGGGACUGAGAUACGGCCCAGACUCCUACGGGAGGCAGCAGUGGGGAAUAUUGCACAAUGGGCGGAAGCCUGAUGCAGCAACGCCGCGUGCGGGAUGACGGCCUUCGGGUUGUAAACCGCUUUCGCCUGUGACGAAGCGUGAGUGACGGUAAUGGGUAAAGAAGCACCGGCUAACUACGUG
rnacentral:rRNA from 1 species